AAGUCGUAACAAGGUUUCCGUAGGUGAACCUGCGGAAGGAUCAUUAAAUGAAGAAUAUGGCAUUCAUUACCAAUGGAUGAACAUAUAAACCCACCUGCGUACCGCUCCUGUUGCUUCCGUGGGGCGGUGACCAACGUCGCCGCCGACGGAUGGCUCCGGCCAUCUGGAGGGGAGUCCCCACGGGAGGUCUACAUAAACUCUGUUUUUUCUGAACUCAGUCUGAAAACUGUUUUUAAAUAAACUUUAAAACUUUCAACAACGGAUCUCUUGGUUCUC
rnacentral:misc_RNA from 1 species